UACGUAGGGGGCGAGCGUUGUCCGGAUUUAUUGGGCGUAAAGAGCGUGUAGGCGGCCAGGUAGGUCUGCUGUGAAAACUCGAGGCUUAACCUCGAGAUGUCGGCGGAAACCAUCUGGCUAGAGUCCGGAAGAGGAGAGUGGAAUUCCCGGUGUAGCGGUGAAAUGCGCAGAUAUCGGGAAGAACACCUAUGGCGAAGGCAGCUCUCUGGGACGGUACUGACGCUGAGACGCGAAAGCGUGGGGAGCGAACAGG
rnacentral:rRNA from 1 species